rnacentral:rRNA from 1 species
UUAAGUUAUUAAGGGCGCACGGUGGAUGCCUUGGCACUAGAAGCCGAUGAAGGACGUUACUAACGACGAUAUGCUUUGGGGAGCUGUAAGUAAGCUUUGAUCCAGAGAUUUCCGAAUGGGGAAACCCAGCAUGAGUUAUGUCAUGUUAUCGAUAUGUGAAUACAUAGCAUAUCAGAAGGCACACCCGGAGAACUGAAACAUCUUAGUACCCGGAGGAAGAGAAAGAAAAUUCGAUUCCCUUAGUAGCGGCGAGCGAAACGGGAAGAGCCCAAACCAACAAGCUUGCUUGUUGGGGUUGUAGGACACUCUGUACGGAGUUACAAAGGACGACAUUAGACGAAUCAUCUGGAAAGAUGAAUCAAAGAAGGUAAUAAUCCUGUAGUCGAAAAUGUUGUCUCUCUUGAGUGGAUCCUGAGUACGACGGAGCACGUGAAAUUCCGUCGGAAUCUGGGAGGACCAUCUCCUAAGGCUAAAUACUCUCUAGUGACCGAUAGUGAACCAGUACCGUGAGGGAAAGGUGAAAAGCACCCCGGAAGGGGAGUGAAAUAGAACCUGAAACCGUGUGCUUACAAGUAGUCAGAGCCCGUUAAUGGGUGAUGGCGUGCCUUUUGUAGAAUGAACCGGCGAGUUACGAUUUGAUGCAAGGUUAAGCAGUAAAUGUGGAGCCGUAGCGAAAGCGAGUCUGAAUAGGGCGUUUAGUAUUUGGUCGUAGACCCGAAACCAGGUGAUCUACCCUUGGUCAGGUUGAAGUUCAGGUAACACUGAAUGGAGGACCGAACCGACUUACGUUGAAAAGUGAGCGGAUGAACUGAGGGUAGCGGAGAAAUUCCAAUCGAACCUGGAGAUAGCUGGUUCUCUCCGAAAUAGCUUUAGGGCUAGCCUCAAGUGAUGAUUAUUGGAGGUAGAGCACUGUUUGGACGAGGGGCCCCUCUCGGGUUACCGAAUUCAGACAAACUCCGAAUGCCAAUUAAUUUAACUUGGGAGUCAGAACAUGGGUGAUAAGGUCCGUGUUCGAAAGGGAAACAGCCCAGACCACCAGCUAAGGUCCCAAAAUAUAUGUUAAGUGGAAAAGGAUGUGGCGUUGCCCAGACAACUAGGAUGUUGGCUUAGAAGCAGCCAUCAUUUAAAGAGUGCGUAAUAGCUCACUAGUCGAGUGACACUGCGCCGAAAAUGUACCGGGGCUAAACAUAUUACCGAAGCUGUGGAUUGUCCUUUGGACAAUGGUAGGAGAGCGUUCUAAGGGCGUUGAAGCAUGAUCGUAAGGACAUGUGGAGCGCUUAGAAGUGAGAAUGCCGGUGUGAGUAGCGAAAGACGGGUGAGAAUCCCGUCCACCGAUUGACUAAGGUUUCCAGAGGAAGGCUCGUCCGCUCUGGGUUAGUCGGGUCCUAAGCUGAGGCCGACAGGCGUAGGCGAUGGAUAACAGGUUGAUAUUCCUGUACCACCUAUAAUCGUUUUAAUCGAUGGGGGGACGCAGUAGGAUAGGCGAAGCGUGCGAUUGGAUUGCACGUCUAAGCAGUAAGGCUGAGUAUUAGGCAAAUCCGGUACUCGUUAAGGCUGAGCUGUGAUGGGGAGAAGACAUUGUGUCUUCGAGUCGUUGAUUUCACACUGCCGAGAAAAGCCUCUAGAUAGAAAAUAGGUGCCCGUACCGCAAACCGACACAGGUAGUCAAGAUGAGAAUUCUAAGGUGAGCGAGCGAACUCUCGUUAAGGAACUCGGCAAAAUGACCCCGUAACUUCGGGAGAAGGGGUGCUCUUUAGGGUUAACGCCCAGAAGAGCCGCAGUGAAUAGGCCCAAGCGACUGUUUAUCAAAAACACAGGUCUCUGCUAAACCGUAAGGUGAUGUAUAGGGGCUGACGCCUGCCCGGUGCUGGAAGGUUAAGAGGAGUGGUUAGCUUCUGCGAAGCUACGAAUCGAAGCCCCAGUAAACGGCGGCCGUAACUAUAACGGUCCUAAGGUAGCGAAAUUCCUUGUCGGGUAAGUUCCGACCCGCACGAAAGGCGUAACGAUUUGGGCACUGUCUCAACGAGAGACUCGGUGAAAUCAUAGUACCUGUGAAGAUGCAGGUUACCCGCGACAGGACGGAAAGACCCCGUGGAGCUUUACUGUAGCCUGAUAUUGAAAUUCGGCACAGCUUGUACAGGAUAGGUAGGAGCCUUUGAAACGUGAGCGCUAGCUUACGUGGAGGCGCUGGUGGGAUACUACCCUAGCUGUGUUGGCUUUCUAACCCGCACCACUUAUCGUGGUGGGAGACAGUGUCAGGCGGGCAGUUUGACUGGGGCGGUCGCCUCCUAAAAGGUAACGGAGGCGCUCAAAGGUUCCCUCAGAAUGGUUGGAAAUCAUUCAUAGAGUGUAAAGGCAUAAGGGAGCUUGACUGCGAGACCUACAAGUCGAGCAGGGUCGAAAGACGGACUUAGUGAUCCGGUGGUUCCGCAUGGAAGGGCCAUCGCUCAACGGAUAAAAGCUACCCCGGGGAUAACAGGCUUAUCUCCCCCAAGAGUUCACAUCGACGGGGAGGUUUGGCACCUCGAUGUCGGCUCAUCGCAUCCUGGGGCUGUAGUCGGUCCCAAGGGUUGGGCUGUUCGCCCAUUAAAGCGGUACGCGAGCUGGGUUCAGAACGUCGUGAGACAGUUCGGUCCCUAUCCGUCGUGGGCGUAGGAAAUUUGAGAGGAGCUGUCCUUAGUACGAGAGGACCGGGAUGGACAUACCUCUGGUGUACCAGUUGUCGUGCCAACGGCAUAGCUGGGUAGCUAUGUGUGGACGGGAUAAGUGCUGAAAGC